rnacentral:rRNA from 1 species
GGGGCGGAAAUCCCGGUGUAGUGGUGGAAUGCGUAGAUAUCGGGAAGAACGCCAGAGGCGAAGGCGGCCUCCUGGCAUUUUACUGACGCUGAGGCACGAAAGCGUGGGUAGCGAACGGGAUUAGAUACCCCGGUAGUCCACGCUGUAACGAUGUGAACGAGGUGUGGGCAGUGUAGAAGCCGUCUGUGCCGGAGCAAACGCGAUAAGUUCACCGCCUGGGGAGUACGGUCGCAAGGCUAGAACCCAAAGGAAUUGACGGGGGCCCGCACAAGCAGCGGAGCGUGUGGUUUAAUUCGAUGCAACGCGAAGAACCUUACCUGGGCUUGACAUGUACGUAGUAGUGAAGGGAAACCGGAACGAGCCUUCGGGCAGCGUAGACAGGUGCUGCAUGGCUGUCGUCAGCUCGUGUCGUGAGAUGUUGGGUUAAGUCCCGCAACGAGCGCAACCCGUGUUGCUAGUUACAAGUGUCUAGCGAGACUGCCGGUAACAAGCCGGAGGAAGGUGCGGAUGAUGUCAAGUCAGCAUGGCCUAUAUGUCCAGGGCUACACACACGCUACAAUGGCUGGUACAAAGAGAAGCGAAAGGGAGACCUGAAGCGAAUCUCAUCAAAGCCAGUCAUAGUUCGGAUUGCAGGCUGCAACUCGCCUGCAUGAAGUCGGAGUUGCUAGUAACCGCAGGUCAGCAAUACUGCGGUGAAUACGUUCCCGGGCCUUGUACACAC